CAAUGUGCACGGAAUAGGCUCUGCGUGGAAGCAUCCUAUCCGCUCGGGAAAACGUGCCUAGGGUGCAAGAGAGCGCGCAGAGACGACAGGCAGGGCUCUGGAGUCCGGCCUCCGCGCUGGAAGCCCUUGGCCAGGCUCCGCACAUCCGUGCCCGGGGCUCAGCUUCCCCUUCCAGACACUGGGAUUCACGGCCCUGCCUUUCCCACAGGUUUGCCGGGAAGUAAAGGAAAGUCCUCUCAAAGAGGAAAUGCACGGCCCGACCGGGGGCGGGUCCAGCCCGUAAGCCCGAGAGCCCUGUCAGCGAGACAGUUAAAGGAAGCAAGUCCCUGCAGGGCCGGGCCAGAAGGGAACUUUUCCGCCGCCCCGGCGGGAGCCGGCGGCAGGCCCUGGGCGGUCCCACGCAAGCCCGCCCCGCCCGCCGGCAGGUGCCCGGGCCCGGCCGCCGCGCCGCUCGGGCCGCCGCGCUGCGCGGAGGAGGACGCGCCGCCUCCCCGGCCCCCGCCGCCCGCCGCCCGCCGCCCCGAGGGGAGAGCGCGGCUCCGAAGCCCAGAGACUGCGGCCCGCCCCCGCCCCCGCCCCCGCGGGCUCCCCGGGCUCCCGGCGGCGCCGGCCGCGGCAGGUGCCAGGAGGUGCCCCUCGCCCCGGGCGCCAACUCGGGCGGGGAGCGCGGGGGCGGCCGCAGUCCGGCCACUCGGCAGCUCCCGAGCCCGCCCAGGACCUACCCCGCGGCCGCGGCCGCCGCCGCUCCUCGCCCGCCAGCGCGCCGGCCUCAGAGGGAAGGAAAGUGAAAGAGAAACAGCGCCCGCCGCGGCCUGGCCGGUCCCCGCGCCCCGUCCGCCCUCCCCCUGCAGGCGGGAGCGCGCCGGCUCCGCGGGGCCACUCGGCUCGGGCCCGAUAGGGCGCGGCGGGCCUCGGGGCCCAGGGCCGGUGCCGCCUCCAAGGGCAACUCCACCCCCUUCCAACCGCCGGCGCCGCCGCCGGCCACGCCCCCGGCCACGCCCGCCGCCCGCGCGCCUCACAGGUGCCGCCGACGCCCCGCCCGCCCCGCCGCCGCAGCUCCCGGGCGACGCGCAGCUCUGGCCAAAUUCUACCUCGGGUCUUCUCACCACCAGCCUCUCUCGGUUGUUUUCAUCAUAA
rnacentral:lncRNA from 1 species